CAAGAAAGGAGAAGGGGUGGCCCUGUAUGUGAAGGAUAGCAUAAAAUCUAGCCUAAUAAAAGUUAGUGAGGAGAACAUCAUAUGUUUUGGGUUACGUUAGAAUUUGGUAAUUACACAGUAACUUGUGUAGGUGUGAUUUAUAGGCCUCCAGGACAAAUUGAAGAGUUAGAUAAUCUACUAGUUGAGGAAAUAGCUAAAAUGACAAUGAAGGGGGAAGUUAUCAUCAUGGGUGACUUUAAUCUUACUGAUGUGAACUGGAAAACCAAAAUAGCUGCUUGUGCUAGAAGCACACAUAUUCUAAACUCCCUUCUGGGAUUGUCUCUAAAACAAG